CUACGGGCUGCUGCAGUGGGGAAUAUUGCACAAUGGGCGCAAGCCUGAUGCAGCCAUGCCGCGUGUAUGAAGAAGGCCUUCGGGUUGUAAAGUACCUUCAGCGGGGAGGAAGGGAGUAAAGUUAAUACCUUUGCUCAUUGACGUUACCCGCAGAAGAAGCACCGGCUAACUCCGUGCCAGCAGCCGCGGUAAUACGGAGGGUGCAAGCGUUAAUCGGAAUUACUGGGCGUAAAGCGCACGCAGGCGGUUUGUUAAGUCAGAUGUGAAAUCCCCGGGCUCAACCUGGGAACUGCAUCUGAUACUGGCAAGCUUGAGUCUCGUAGAGGGGGGUAGAAUUCCAGGUGUAGCGGUGAAAUGCGUAGAGAUCUGGAGGAAUACCGGUGGCGAAGGCGGCCCCCUGGACGAAGACUGACGCUCAGGUGCGAAAGCGUGGGAGCAAACAGGAUUAGAUACCCGCGUAGUC
rnacentral:rRNA from 1 species